rnacentral:rRNA from 1 species
GACGAACGCUGGCGGCGUGCCUAAUACAUGCAAGUCGAACGCACAGUUUAUACCGUAGCUUGCUACACCAUAGACUGUGAGUUGCGAACGGGUGAGUAACGCGUAGGUAACCUGCCUGGUAGCGGGGGAUAACUAUUGGAAACGAUAGCUAAUACCGCAUAAUAUUAAUUAUUGCAUGAUAAUUAAAUGAAAGGUGCAAUUGCACCACUACCAGAUGGACCUGCGUUGUAUUAGCUAGUAGGUGAGGUAACGGCUCACCUAGGCGACGAUACAUAGCCGACCUGAGAGGGUGAUCGGCCACACUGGGACUGAGACACGGCCCAGACUCCUACGGGAGGCAGCAGUAGGGAAUCUUCGGCAAUGGACGAAAGUCUGACCGAGCAACGCCGCGUGAGUGAAGAAGGUUUUCGGAUCGUAAAGCUCUGUUGUAAGAGAAGAACGGGUGUGAGAGUGGAAAGUUCACACUGUGACGGUAUCUUACCAGAAAGGGACGGCUAACUACGUG